CGGUGCGAGGGGGUCGUACGUCAUGCAGAAUGAUGGUGGAAUACGCUGCGUUGCGUGCGACUUCCCUUCACCGA
ncrna:Ornithorhynchus anatinus (platypus) microRNA oan-mir-1421g precursor (oan-mir-1421g-1)